rnacentral:rRNA from 1 species
UACGUAGGGUGCGAGCGUUGUCCGGAAUUAUUGGGCGUAAAGGGCUCGUAGGCGGUUUGUCGCGUCGGGAGUGAAAACCAGGUGCUUAACACCUGGCUUGCUUUCGAUACGGGCAGACUAGAGGUAUUCAGGGGAGAACGGAAUUCCUGGUGUAGCGGUGAAAUGCGCAGAUAUCAGGAGGAACACCGGUGGCGGAGGCGGUUCUCUGGGAAUAUCCUGACGCUGAGGAGCGAAAGUGUGGGGAGCGAACAGGAUUAGAAA